ACAACAGGAGAGGAUAAUAGGCCCAGAUGACUAAUCAUCUAUCCUAUUAAUAUGUCGCCAUUCAAACCGGUUGAAGAUACCCUGAGCUACCAUCUCUCAUUGGACACAACCACUAACCAUAGGCUCCCUGGCUUUCAAAGGAGUGAGUAAGGACCACGUGUGGAUCAAGGCAGUAGCCCUGAAGAUAACCUGCAAAAAGUGAAUAUAGCGUUGUGUGUUAAACACUAAGUCAUUUCUGCAAUUCCAUGCAGCCCAAACUUUUUUAAAAAAUGGGUAGAAUUUCACUUCCCGGCCACUGCACCAACUAGGGAUGCAUACAACCAUUUUAGUAUGAGUACCAAGAUAAACAUGGUCCUCUAAAUUUUUUAAAUGAGUAUUAAGAUAUUUUUUAUGAGUGGUAUCACCACACGUCAAACUUGAUCCUCAAUAAAUGGAACAAAACUCCCUGUGCAUCACCUGUCAAUUCUAGGAAUUGAACUCGGGUCGUUGGGUUGCACAACCGCAUGCCCAACCACUGAGCCAAGACUCUCUUUGCAAAUGGACUUUUACUGAAGAUAGAAAUUUCACUGUGAGAUUUCAUUAUAAGAAACUGGUGGAAUCUGAAUGUAUUUCCCACAUAAAUAUAUGUGCAAAGUUAAAAUACCUGCUAGAAUUAAAGUGUUUCUUUGGCUAACGGCGAAAAAGAGAAUUCCUACUCAAGACAAUCUCUUUAGAAGGGGUUGACAUGGAAACAAAAUGUGUGUUUAUUGUGGGGAACAUAAAAGGAUUGAUCACCUUUUCUUUCAAUGCUCUCUUUCUAGACUCAUAUGGAGUUUCAUGAGAAGUGAUUUUGAUUUAAAUUCCACUCCGAAUAACCUAACUAAAUGUUUUGGAAGUUGGAUUAAGAGAUUCCAAUGCAUGAUUAAAAAGUUUGCAUGAGUUGCGAUUUCUGUUUUUUUGGACUCUAUCGGGAUGCAGGAAUGAUGUUAUCUUUGAGAUGAACAUUAUUAGUGACCCCAUGGUCUUAGUGAAGCUGUUAUGCUAUUAGAUUUCUAUUGCAGAUAAAGGAGGGAAAUCGAAAGGUGCUGACGCAGCAGGCAAGGCUCAUCAAGCAGAUAGCAAAUGAGGCGUACCGCUCCUCGCAAGGUUGGAGGCCAGGAAUUCUUAGGAUUGAUGGUUGAUGCUUCGGUUGCUCCUCCGGAAGACUUCACGAAUUAGCUACUUGUGAAGAUCUUCUCUAACAUUCUUCAGUUCGUUUCUUGCUUUCCCUUUUCUUCGCUCAACUAGUAGUUAUCCUGGUAGUUGAUAUGGCUGGUUGUAAGCUGGAGUCUAU
rnacentral:lncRNA from 1 species